GUCAGUAUAGAAACAAGGUGAGCAAGUCAGGAGUUUGCAAUGAAGUUUUCAGGAGAGAAUCUUGCAGGAGAAUUUGUGAAGUUUCAAUAUUUAUUACAAGUAAAUAGUGAGUAUGGCACAACUCAAGAGAACCGCCCGGAAAUGGGUUUUCGGCAAAGGCAGGGAAAAGGCGCAUCACCCAAGUUGAGACUGCUAGACUACGCUGCUUGUUAGUACGAGCUAUAGUGAUUAUAAUGGUCUGAAACCAGACUUCCCUUUAUGUAAUAAAGUUAGACUCGGUAGUAAUGUUGUAAGACGAGCGACCCUGGACUUGUGGGGCAAGAGUUGGAUUAUGUAAUAUUAAUAUGUAAUGCAAGUGUUGUUUUGAGCCAGA